AAAAACAUCGCCUCUUGUACCCUACAAAUAAGAGGUCCUGCCUGCCCUGUGACACAUAGUUUAACGGCCGCGGUAUUUUAACCGUGCGAAGGUAGCGUAAUCACUUGUCUUUUAAAUGAGGACCAGUAUGAAUGGCAAAACGAGGGCUUAACUGUCUCCCCCCUCCAGUCAAUGAAAUUGAUCUCCCCGUGAAGAAGCGGGGAUGCACCCAUAAGACGAGAAGACCCUAUGGAGCUUUAGACACUAAGGCAGCUUACGUUAAAAAUCCUGCACCAAGGCCCUAAACUAAAUAAUUCCUGACCUGACGUCUUCGGUUGGGGCGACCGCGGGGGAAAGAAAAACCCCCACGUGGACUGGGAGUACCUCUCCUAUCACCCCGAGCUACCGCUCUAAUGUAUCAGAACCCUUCUGACCAUAAAUGAUCCGGCGCAAGCCGAUUAACGAAACAAGUUACCCUAGGGAUAACAGCGCAAUCCCCUUUUAGAGACCCUAUCGACAAGGGAGUUUACGACCUCGAUGUUGGAUCAGGACAUCCUAAUGGUGCACCCGCUAUUAAGGGUUCGUUUGUUCAACGAUUAAAGUC
rnacentral:rRNA from 1 species